rfam:Triticum aestivum genome assembly, contig: Triticum_aestivum_CS42_TGACv1_scaffold_375282_5AL
AUGAUACUCCCUCCGUUCCGAAUUACUUGUUUUGGAUUUGUCUAGAUACAGAUGUAUCUAGAGUGUAUCUAGACUCAUUUUAGUGCUAGAUACUUCUGUAUCUAGACAAAUCCAAGACAAGUAAUUUAGAACGGAGGGAGUAGUUG